rnacentral:rRNA from 1 species
UACGUAGGGUGCAAGCGUUUGUCCGGAAUUAUUGGGCGUAAAGAGCUCGUAGGCGGUUUGUUGCGUCGGCUGUGAAAUCCCGAGGCUCAACCUCGGGUCUGCAGUCGAUACGAGCAAACUAGAGUGUUGCAGGGGAGACUGGAAUUCCUGGUGUAGCGGUGAAAUGCGCAGAUAUCAGGAGGAACACCGAUGGCGAAGGCAGAUCUCUGGGCCGAUACUGACGCUGAGGAGCGAAAGCGUGGGGAGCGAACAGG